GGGCCCGCACAAGCAGUGGAGUAUGUGGUUUAAUUCGAAGCAACGCGAAGAACCUUACCAGGUCUUGACAUCCAACUAACGAAGCAGAGAUGCAUUAGGUGCCCUUCGGGGAAAGUUGAGACAGGUGGUGCAUGGUUGUCGUCAGCUCGUGUCGUGAGAUGUUGGGUUAAGUCCCGCAACGAGCGCAACCCUUAUGAUUAGUUGCUACGCAAGAGCACUCUAAUCAGACUGCCGUUGACAAAACGGAGGAAGGUGGGGACGACGUCAAAUCAUCAUGCCCUUUAUGACCUGGGCUACACACGUACUACAAUGGCUGUUAACAGAGGGACGCGAAACCGCGAGGCGGAGCAAAACCUCAAAAACAGUCUCAGUUCGGAUUGUAGGCUGCAACCCGCCUACAUGAAGUUGGAAUUGCUAGUAAUCGCGGAUCAUCAUGCCGCGGUGAAUACGUUCCCGGGCCUU
rnacentral:rRNA from 1 species